rnacentral:rRNA from 1 species
CUACGGGUCGCAGCAGUGGGGAAUAUUGCACAAUGGAGGAAACUCUGAUGCAGCAACGCCGCGUGGAGGAUGACACUUUUCGGAGCGUAAACUCCUUUUAUAUAGGAAGAAGAUGACGGUACUAUAUGAAUAAGCGCCGGCUAACUCCGUGCCAGCAGCCGCGGUAAUACGGAGGGCGCAAGCGUUACUCGGAAUCACUGGGCGUAAAGAGCGUGUAGGCGGAUUAAAAAGUCAGAAGUGAAAUCCUAUAGCUUAACUAUAUAACUGCUUCUGAAACUCUUAAUCUAGAAUAUGGGAGAGGUAGAUGGAAUUUCUGGUGUAGGGGUAAAAUCCGUAGAGAUCAGAAGGAAUACCGAUUGCGAAGGCGAUCUACUAGAACAUGAUUGACGCUGAGACGCGAAAGCGUGGGGAGCAAACAGGAUUAGAUACCCGCGUAGUC